GUCUCUGUAACUCAGUGGUAGAGUGUAGGAUUGCAAUUCCUGGCCUGUCAUCCUGAAGUCCCGUGUUCGAACCACGGCAGGGACU